AACGAACGCUGGCGGCAUGCCUAACACAUGCAAGUCGAACGAGACCUUCGGGUCUAGUGGCGCACGGGUGCGUAACGCGUGGGAACCUGCCCUUAGGUUCGGAAUAACUCCCCGAAAGGGGUGCUAAUACCGGAUAAUGUCUUCGGACCAAAGAUUUAUCGCCUUUGGAUGGGCCCGCGUUGGAUUAGCUAGUUGGUAGGGUAGAAGCCUACCAAGGCGACGAUCCAUAGCUGGUCUGUGAGGAUGGUCAGCCACACUGGGACUGAGACACGACCCAGACUGCCACGGGAGGCAGGAGUGGGGCAUAUUGCAACAGGCGCGAAGGCCGGACCCAGCGAUGAGCCGAGAGCGCUGGCGCCUCUACGGUUGUAAGGCACUUGUACCCGGGCGGCUCAUGGCAGUCCCGGGCGACUAAGCCCCGGCUAGCAGCGUG
rnacentral:rRNA from 1 species